CGUCGCUUGACACACGCACAUGCAUCGUGGUACUGCGGUGGAGCCGAUGGGGAAUUUCUCUCGAGAUGAAAAUUUCGCAGCUCUCGGAACAGUCCCAUGUUCAUCGUUCAUGACGUUACCAAAAUAGGUACUACGUGUCACGCUAAGAACGUCAGUUUGCAUCAUACAUCCUGUUCUUGUGCCCGACGGGUUUUCACAGCGUCAUCGGGGGCAAACAAGAACCAGUUUUCUUCCUCCGAGGCUCAGGCUUGCUCGCGGCUCAGUUUGUCACGGCCAAUGCGCGCCGUAAAUCAUUCACGAGUGGCGGGGCGCAGAUAACGGGCGCAUAAAUUGAUACAUACACGCCACCGGAGGGAAGGCGCGUAUAAUCUGUCUCUAUCGCUCGCCGCGACAGCGACUCGCCAUGCCGUACAGUGCACGAGUCUUCGAGCUUUGCGGGGAAGUCCAUGUGGAAACUCGCCGUGGCUUGUACGACACGCGCAUAAACAAGGCCCCGGCGAUACCGGGCGGAUAAUCCGUCUCGUCCUGCAGUGUCCGGCAGCGGACUGGGUGACCGUGGAAACGCGCACCGAGUUAUUACAGGAAUGCGCCCUACAUCUUCGUCAUCAGUGACGCACAGAUUAGCGGAGGGGAAAUAGAACGGCUGCAUAAGAAUGCGGCCCUCCUUUUGACGAAUAUAUAUGCGAUCGCCCAAUUACGU